GUGACGCACUGGCACAGCCCCUACUUCUUCGCCUACUUCCCCACUGCCAGCUCGUACCCGGCCAUGCUAGCAGACAUGCUGUGCGGGGCCAUUGGCUGCAUCGGCUUCUCCUGGGCGGCAAGCCCAGCAUGCACAGAGCUGGAGACUGUGAUGAUGGACUGGCUCGGGAAGAUGCUGGAACUACCAAAGGCAUUUUUGGCUGAGAAAGCUGGAGAAGGGGGAGGAGUGAUCCAGGGAAGUGCCAGCGAAGCCACCCUGGUGGCCCUGCUGGCCGCUCGGACCAAAGUGAUCCAUCGGCUGCAGGCAGCGUCCCCAGAGCUCACACAAGCCGCUAUCAUGGAGAAGCUGGUGGCUUACUCAUCCGAUCAGGCACACUCCUCAGUGGAAAGAGCUGGGUUAAUUGGUGGAGUGAAAUUAAAAGCCAUCCCCUCAGAUGGCAACUUCGCCAUGCGUGCGUCUGCCCUGCAGGAAGCCCUGGAGAGAGACAAAGCGGCUGGCCUGAUUCCGUUCUUCUUACUUCCCCAGUGUAAUGUGGAAGGACUGACAUGGCUCAAAGUUAGCACACAGAGCAAGGUGACAGCCAAGACAUUUUGAAGGAUGCAAAAAGAGUCUGCCAGUGGAUCAAGGUGUACCUGCCAUCUUAUCCCAAACGUCUUAUCUUUCUCCAUUGC
rnacentral:sRNA from 1 species